CAAUAGCUCUGUGCUAUCAGAAGACAUUUCCUUCACGGCACAGAGCGUCUGAGUAAUGAUUUUGAGCCGGCUUCACCCAUUUCCGGUGGAAGGAGGCAAGUGGCCGGUCCCCGCCCCUGCACGGCCCUCUCGGAGCCCCGCCGCCCAGCAGCCUCCGGCUGGAAGACGGGCCUCUCUUCCCUUUGCCGUCCGGCCCGGCAUCCUGAGUAGCAGAUUCACUCGGAGGGGCUUUCCCGCGUCUACGCAGAACACCGUCACUGGCUCGUACUCUCAUCUGCAUGCCGUUCACAGGUGGCUUUGACGGCGAAAAGGCGGGUCGAGAAGGUCACACCUUUUUGGAAGGACUCUGUCCCUCAGAAGGAUGAGCAUUUUGAAUCCCUUUCUUCGAGCGCUGUCUUGCAAACUUCUUAUGUGGAUUUUGGGGCUCGUCUACAAGGCUGCAGGCGCUCCCAGCAUCCGGAGGGAAUUUAGACCAACCUCUUUCCUGGGGCAUCGAAGGAGAGCACGGCCCUGGGCUUCUUGGAGCAGUUCCAGCUGGAGGCUGCCUCCACGUUCACUUUAAGCCCGGACUCAACCAGAGCCCCCUGCACUCGUCUUUCCCGGCCACACGGAAAAAGCCACCUGGAGCGGGACAGAACGGAGCCGGCGUGAAAAGAGAGGCCAAGCUCCCCGCUCCCUGUGACCGGGUAUCUGGGACCACCCAUUACAGGUGGAAAAGCCCCACGCAACACCCUGCUGCGAUUCAGGUGAUGAAAGAUUCUCACGGGAUCAAACCAAGGUCUGAAUUAAUUUAGACUGAAUUAAUUUAGAGCUCGUCGGGGCCUCUCCUGCGUGGACCCCUCCCAAGGCCCUGGGAGGGGCCCUCCAAACGCGUUCCAUGGUCAUAAGCUGUUUUACAAUGUGAACAAACAAGGUAUUUUUAACCAC